AAACGACUCUCGACAACGGAUAUCUCGGCUCUCGCAUCGGUGAAUUGCAGAAUCCCGUGAAUCAUCGAGUCUUUGAACGCAAGUUGCGCCCGAAGCCUUUUGGUUGAGGGCACGUCUGCCUGGGCGUCACG
rnacentral:rRNA from 1 species